UUUCUCUAUGUAGCUUUGAUUGUCUUGGAACUCACUUUGUAGACCAGGCUGACCUUGAACUCACAGAGAUCUACCUGCUGCUUCCUAAAUGCUGGGAUUAAAGGCGUGCACCACCAUGCCCCAUUAUUUUGUUUGUUUGUUUGUUUGUUUUGUUUGUUUUUCAAGACAGGGUUUCUCUGUGUAGCCCUGGCUGUCCUGGAACUCACUCUGUAGACCAGGCUGUCCUGGAACUCAGAAAGCCACCUGCCUCUGCCUCCCGAGUGCUGGGAUUAAAGGUGUGUGCCACCACUCCCGGCCUGGUUACUUUUUAUUACAUGCUGACAUUUGCUUAUAAAUCAAAACAAGGACAACAGUAACCUAAAGAUUUUUGCUAUUCAUUUUAUUUACCCAUAUCUUUCUUUUUAUAGUAGGAUGUAUUUACCAUCCUUGAAAUAAUUAUAAAAGUAGCUCAGUGAUAAAGUAUAUGAACAGUUACAAGGCCCUCAGUUUGGACUCCUCUAGGACCACAUAGACAUAUGUAAAGAAUCGAUUAGGACUCAUAUUUCCUAGCAUCUUAGAAUUUUUAAACUGCCACCAUAUCCAAUAUAUUCUCAACUGAUUUUCAUAACAAUUUACAUAGGGAUAUAUUGUAUUUUAUAAAUGCUGAAAAUAAAGCCAAAAUAUUUUAAGAGUUAGAUAGUAAAUAGCAGAAACAGGAAUGUGAUUACACUCCUUCUUAAAUUCUAACUUGAUGUAAUUUAUAAAUUAAUCAAGUUUAAUAUUUAUACAGAUUAUAGAAAAAUGGGUACAAGUUCUUUUCAUAGUAGACAUCACUUUUUUAAAAAAUAUUUUAUGUUAAACCAUGUAUAUGUAUGUCAGUGUGUGCACAUGAGUGUAGCAAGUGCCUGCAGAAGCCUGAAGGGUAUUGGGUUCCCUGUAGCUGAAGUCAUAGGUGUUACACAGUUCAGGUGCUGAAAACAAAUCGAGGGUCCUGUACAAGAGUCGUUCACUAAGCCAUCUCUGCAGCUCCCAGAGUAGACUUCCUAAUUAUCUUACCCCUAACUUCAGUCUUCUUAAUGCUUAAAGCAGACUGUAUGUUAGGAGUGUGAAGAAAUACAAAAUUGAUUUGUUCUUUUGCUUUUAUUGUCAAGAUAUUUGCAGUAGCAUGCAUCUUUUCAUAGUUACUUUUCCCAGCCUUUCCUUAAUGUCAGCAGCAGCAUUGGGGUUAUUGCCAAAAAUGAUGGGUAGGCAAACUGUAACACUGUUGGUACAGUGCUUGAGAUGGGAGUACCAGCUGUUCACCAGAUUUUAAUUUGCAACUGAAGAACAAUAAACUGCUGAUUUUUCUCCUGAUUUUCCAUCCUGAAGACAUAUUGCACAUAGAACUCAUUUUCUGUAAGCCUAAGAACUAAAAUUUUAAAUAAUUGCAUUUUUGUAUUUUACAGUGUGUGGAUCAGUUGACAAAGAUCCAAACAGAAUUACAGGAAACUGUGAAAGAUUUAGUGAAAGGCAAAAAGAAGUACUUUGAGACUGAACAGAUGGCUCAUGCAGUAAGAGAGAAAGCUGACAUCGAAGCAAAGUAAGUAUUUUAGCAUUUCUAAGAAAAUGGCUGUGUAAAUAAAUGUUAUCUUUGUUCAUGCUUUGUUCUCUCUUAAAGAAGGUCUGGCCUCAUCCUCAGGCUGUGCUGCGUUCAGUUAACCGCAGUGUCUUCUGUGCUGUUGACCACACUUUUUCUUCUUUUGUCUGGUUUUAUCUAUUUUAACAUGGCAGAGUAUGGAUAUUUGAUAGUUAAAUUGAGUUUUGAAAAGGAAAGAAGAGGUAAACAUUGGAUUUACAGACUUGAGAGCUUAUUGACAGCUUAAAGUUGCUAUGCUGUCUGAAAAUCAGGGCUUAAGAGGCCCAUAUUGAUCAUGUUGGCUCUAAUUGUUGAAAACCUCUACAAGUAUCACGUGUCAGUGAAGGAUCAUGGGUACAUCAAGUAAACAAGGGCUGGAUCCGUGUAAAAACUUUUCUGAAGCACUGGGUAUUUUUACAUGAAAUUUAGCUUGUUGUGUGUGUAUAAUAAAUAUAUGUUAUUUAUUUUACAUAUAUUUAUUAUACACAUAUAUAUAUGUAUAUACACUCAUAUAUACAUGUAUAUAUUUACAUCUUUGCUUUAGCAGUUGGUUAAUUUCAUUUUAAGAAAUAUUCAUUAUAGUUCUUUAUUUUG
rnacentral:lncRNA from 1 species